UUCUACUUCUGAGGGGCUGUGACCUAAGAUGGCUUCAGAAAGGCUGGAAUGCAGUGGUGUAGUCUCAGCUCAUUGCAACCUCCACAUCCCAGGUUCAAGUGAUCCUCUUGCCUCAGUCUCCUGAGCAAAGAAACCCGUUUUAUGGUGUGAAAGAGGUGUGUUCAUGGACGCAAGGCAAUUGCAUACUGAACACCACGUCACUCAUAAAGGUGUGGAUUCAGAAAUUAUUACCCAAUUAACUUCCUGCAAGCUGAUCUAUGACUUCAGAGUCAGCUUCUUGUAAAACCCAACCUUCAACAGUGACCAUCUAAUCUACUGUCAAAUCUGAGAUUUUUUGUGUUUUGCAUGUGAAAGGCUAAUCAGAUGGAUUCAGGUACAAUAGCCCCAGGUGAGCUGAGAUUUUAUGGUCACUCUAGGUUUCAAGUAAUAAAAAC
rnacentral:lncRNA from 13 species